rnacentral:rRNA from 1 species
AGAGUUUGAUCCUGGCUCAGGACGAACGCUGGCGGCGUGCCUAACACAUGCAAGUCGAGCGGGGACAUUGCGACGGACCUGAAGAUUUCGGUUGGAUGGAAAGAUGUAAUGUUCUAGCGGCGGACGGGUGAGUAACGCGUGAGCAACCUGUCCCUUACAGGGGGAUAACACAGCGAAAGUUGUACUAAUACCGCAUGAGACCGCGGAGUCACAUGGCUCAGGGGUCAAAGGAGCAAUCCGGUAAGGGGUGGGCUCGCGUCCGAUUAGAUAGUUGGUGAGGUAACGGCCCACCAAGUCGACGAUCGGUAGCCGACCUGAGAGGGUGAUCGGCCACAUUGGGACUGAGACACGGCCCAAACUCCUACGGGAGGCAGCAGUGGGGAAUAUUGGGCAAUGGGGGGAACCCUGACCCAGCAACGCCGCGUGAGGGAAGAAGGUUUUCGGAUCGUAAACCUCUGUCCUAUGUGAAGAGAAAGAGACGGUAGCAUAGGAGGAAGCCCCGGCUAACUACGUGCCAGCAGCCGCGGUAAUACGUAGGGGGCGAGCGUUGUCCGGAAUGAUUGGGCGUAAAGGGCGCGUAGGCGGCCCGGUAAGUCUGGAGUGAAAGUCCUGUUUUUAAGAUGGGAAUUGCUUUGGAUACUGUCGGGCUUGAGUGCAGGAGAGGUAAGUGGAAUUCCCAGUGUAGCGGUGAAAUGCGUAGAGAUUGGGAGGAACACCAGUGGCGAAGGCGACUUACUGGACUGUAACUGACGCUGAGGCGCGAAAGUGUGGGGAGCAAACAGGAUUAGAUACCCUGGUAGUCCACACUGUAAACGAUGAAUGCUAGGUGUAGGGGGUAUCGACCCCUUCUGUGCCGCAGUAAACACAAUAAGCAUUCCGCCUGGGGAGUACGGCCGCAAGGUUGAAACUCAAAGGAAUUGACGGGGGCCCGCACAAGCAGCGGAGCAUGUGGUUUAAUUCGACGCAA